UGUAAGACAAGGAUUUUUCUCUGCAGUACAUUUUCGAAUGUGACCAAUGCGAUUAUUCAGCAAAGUUUUGUUCUGACGAGAAACUGCGACAAUGAUAACAGUUCUGAGAAUAGCUGAGGAACUAAAGUCGGUGAAUUACCGACAACUUCAGGCCCGUUGGCCGCGACUGCCAAUAUGGCAAGUGCGCCCAUCGCUGAAUGGGCAGGAAUCGAUCGCCUUGCCUCCAACCCUCGGUACCUCUACUCUCAUGCAUCCAUGGCCAUCUGAUCCAGAAGUAUUGUACAAUAAUCAGAGGUCAACCACGGUCAUCAGGAUGUUGCAAGGAUUGUGGACGCAACCACGAGAUCUUGGUGCCGUUUCCUUGAUGCAAAGGAAUCUGACCGAUCGAUUGGGAUUGGCGUCUUUCAACCGAU